rnacentral:rRNA from 1 species
UGGUGGAGUGAUUUGUCUGGUUAAUUCCGUUAACGAACGAGACCUUAGCCUGCUAAAUAGUGCGCGUUAUUCUUUGACUAGCGUGAUCACUUCUUAGAGGGACAAUUCGGGUUUACCGGAUGGAAGUUUAAGGCAAUAACA